rfam:Stegodyphus mimosarum contig118160, whole genome shotgun sequence.
GCCUUCGUGGUGUAAAGGUCAGCACGCUCAGCUUGUAUUCGAGAGUUCCGUGGUUCGAAUCCCGGGGAGGGCA